rfam:Asian citrus Psyllid, Diaphorina citri - Florida Strain, whole genome shotgun sequence.
GCCUAGUUAGCUUAGUUGGUAGUGCGUCUGCCUUGUAAGCGCUAGGCCGUGGGUUCGAUUCCCGCCCGGGGUG